GUUCACUUCACUAGUGCAGUAGCAGCACGCGUCUCUGGUAAGGAUGAAACGCGGGUUCGAUUCCCUCCUGAGACCA